rnacentral:lncRNA from 1 species
GCCGGGUCCUUCCUCUAACCCAAGUGCAGGCAGAGCCCCCGGAGCCAUGGCCAGCCCUUCCGGCAGCUCCAAAGCCACAGGCAAGCCCCGAGGCUGGGAUGGCCGGCCCAGGAGGGAGGAGGACGACGUACCUCCCGAGGAGAAGAGGCUGCGGCUGGGGCUGGAAGGGGGAAGCGCACAGCCCGAGGACUGCGAGGACGGGGAGGACGCGCCGCGGCCAGGCAGGGAGGAGACCGGCACCCAGACAGGUGGCGACGGCAGAGGAGAUCUUGCUCUGUCACCCAGCCUGGAGCACUGUGGCACCGUCAUGGCUCACUGCAGCCUCUGCCUCCUGGGCUCAAGCUGUCCUCCCACCUCAGCCCUCCUGAGUAGCUGGAACUACAAGCAUGUGCCACCACUGCUGCCUAAUUUUUGUAUUUAUUUAUUUUUUGUAGAGGGGGGGUUCUCACUAUGUUGCCCAGGCUGGUCUUGAGCUCCUGGGCUCAAGUAAUCUGCUCACCUCAGCCUCCCAAAAUGCUGGGAUGACAGGCAUGAGCCACUGCGCCUGGCCAGUAUGUUCAGUUUGUAAGAAAAGUACUGUGUUGACCUCUUCUAUGUGCACAUUUCUUUAAGUAAUAAUUCAAUAAAUCAUUUAGAAAAAUUG